CCCUGAUGACUGCUGUAUGUAUUCUGCCUGGGGUCUUUAGCUGUGAUCACUGGAAGAGAUAGAGUGGUGUGUAUUUGCUCCAUCUUAACCAGCUCUGGAAACCUGUUUAACUGGCAAUUUAUUUCCAACGUUGAUAUAAAUACCACAAGUUGAGAUGAUUACAAUAUCUGAUUUUGCAAGAGCAUCUCAGCCAGGCCCAGGGAGUGGCUAGAAGUUUCUGGAUGGAAGCACGAGAAUUCAGAACUGACGUAUUCCAUCCGUGACGUUUUCUCAUAUGGGGAAACAGAGGCACAGAAAGGGGAGGCCGACCAACGGGAAGAACCACAGAAAGCACUUGCCCACUUUCCUGUUUACCUCACACCAGACGUGGGCGCCGGCACCCCGUGCUCUGGUCAGACGGGGACCAGUGAGCUGACGGAGGAACCACCUCCCCCCUCGGCUUCCCUGCGCCAGGCUGAGCCUCGCAAUGCUGCCCUGCCCCGAAAUUCGGAAGAACGGCAGGAACGAUGACAGGACAGCCAAAGCCGACACGGAGCCGA